rnacentral:tRNA from 1 species
GCCUUCGUGGUGUAAUGGUCAGCACACUCGGCUCGUAUUCGAGAGGUCCAUGGUUCGAGUCCCGGCGAGAACA